rnacentral:rRNA from 1 species
UACGUAGGGGGCAAGCGUUGUCCGGAUUCAUUGGGCGUAAAGAGCGUGUAGGCGGCCAGGUAGGUCGGUUGUGAAAACUGGAGGCUCAACCUUCAGAGGUCGACCGAAACCAUCUGGCUAGAGUCCGGGAGAGGAGAGUGGAAUUCCUGGUGUAGCGGUGAAAUGCGCAGAUAUCAGGAAGAACACCCGUGGCGGCAGCGGCUCUCUUGAACGGUACUGACGCUGAGAGACGAAAGCUAGGGGAGCAAAUGGG